rnacentral:rRNA from 1 species
AGAAUCAACGCUGGCGGCGUGCCUAACACAUGCAAGUCGCACGAGAAAGGGACUUCGGUCCUGAGUACAGUGGCGCACGGGUGAGUAACACGUGAAUAAUCUACCUCCGAGUGGGGAAUAACUGAGAGAAGUCUUAGCUAAUACCGCAUAACACUUACGAGUCAAAGCAGCAAUGCGCUUGGAGAGGAGUUCGCGGCAGAUUAGUUAGUUGGCGGGGUAAUGGCCCACCAAGACGAUGAUCUGUA